GGAUUACAGGUGUGAGCCACCGCGCCCGGCCUGUUUCAUCACUUUCAAACCAAAGUCCAUCUGAUUGAUAGAAACUAAGUCACAUGUCUGUAGCCUUACAGCAAGUGAGACUGGGCAUCCAUGUCUGGCUGCCAUGCUGGGAAGGUAGAUCCACAAUAUGGGGGAAGCUUUUGAAAUAUGGAGAGGCUGUUAAAGUGUGGGAGUACCCAGGAAUGAUCACAGUCCACCACACACACAGUCCCCAUUCCACAAAUCACUGUGUGAGACGGGAAGUCUAGAUUCAGAUCUGCCUUCUUUCUAGAAGCCCCUGUUCAAGCCCUUAGUUCUAGAGCAUAUAAAGAAACCUGUAGAAAAAAGGUUUUGAUUUUGGUGUGACUUGAAGACUCUUUUAUAGUCUUCUUUUUACCAGGUAUGAGAAAUUUUUACAACUUCUCCCUGUUAGAAACAUUCCUGUGAUGGGCUAAGUUCUUUGAAGUCUCUGACUCUUAUCUGCAGUUUCCUCUGCCUGGAUUGCAGCUCUCUCCUCUGGUUGCAUCUAUAAUACCUGGCCCAAACAUUCAGGUGGGAGCUUGCUAAACAGGCCUGGGCUAAAAUCUAUCUCUGCUGCUACACAGCUGUGUGACCUUAGAAGUGUUACCUAAUUUUUCUUAUCCUCAGUUUAUGCAUCUGUAAAAUAGAGGUAAUAUUACUGACUUCCUAGAUUGUCCAGGGAUUAAAUGGAUAAUAGAUGAAAAGAGACCACAUAAAUGGUAAACACACAGGAUUAUGUCCCUUCCUCUCCUUUCUUAUGACGUUUUGUGCACUCCUGGGUUACAAUACUUACACUAAACUGUGCCAUUUGGACAUUCACCUAUUUUUAAACUAUUGGGUAGACAGCCCCUUCUCUGCUGUGUGGCCCGCUGCUUUCUUGCAAUGUAAAAAAAUACAAUAUUGAAAAGGAAGGCUAAAAUCAUCUGUUUUCCA
rnacentral:lncRNA from 1 species